rnacentral:rRNA from 1 species
UGGGGCAGCACAGGUAGCAAUACUGGGUGGCGACCGGCAAACGGGUGCGGAACACGUACGCAACCUUCCCUUAACUGGUGAAUAGCCCUCCGAAAGGAGGAUUAAUACACCGUAACAUAAUGAAGUGGCAUCACUCUAUUAUUAUAGCUUCGGCGGUUUAGGAUGGGCGUGCGCCUGAUUAGGUAGUUGGCGGGGUAACGGCCCACCAAGCCUGCGAUCAGUAACUGGUGUGAGAGCACGACCAGUCACACGGGCACUGAGACACGGGCCCGACUCCUACGGGAGGCAGCAGUAAGGAAUAUUGGUCAAUGGACGCAAGUCUGAACCAGCCAUGCCGCGUGAAGGAUGAAGGCCCUCUGGGUUGUAAACUUCUUUUAUAGGGGACGAAAAAGGAUCAUUCCUGAUCACUUGACGGUACCCUAGGAAUAAGCACCGGCUA